rnacentral:rRNA from 1 species
UAAGGAAUAUUGGACAAUGGAGGCAACUCUGAUCCAGCCAUGCCGCGUGAAGGAAUAAGGCCCUAUGGGUUGUAAACUUCUUUUAGACGGGACAAAACCCCUUUACGUGUAAAGGGUUGAUGGUACUGUCAGAAUAAGCAUCGGCUAACUUCGUGCCAGCAGCCGCGGUGAUACGAAGGAUGCAAGCGUUAUCCGGAAUUAUUGGGUUUAAAGGGUGCGUAGGCGGACUAAUAAGUCAGUGGUGAAAGCCUGCAGCUUAACUGCAGAAUUGCCAUUGAUACUGUUAGUCUUGAGUACAGUUGAGGUAGGCGGAAUGUGUCAUGUAGCGGUGAAAUGCUUAGAUAUGACACAGAACACCGAUUGCGAAGGCAGCUUGCUAAGCUGUAACUGACGCUGAGGCACGAAAGCGUGGGGAGCAAACA